rnacentral:rRNA from 1 species
CAGUAGCCGCGGGAAUACGAAGGGGGCUAGCGUUGCUCGGAAUGACUGGGCGUAAAGGGCGCGUAGGCGGAUGGCACAGUCAGAUGUGAAAUUCCCGGGCUUAACCUGGGGGCUGCAUUUGAUACGUGUUGUCUAGAGUGAGGAAGAGGGUCGUGGAAUUCCCAGUGUAGAGGUGAAAUUCGUAGAUAUUGGGAAGAACACCGGUGGCGAAGGCGGCGACCUGGUCCUUUACUGACGCUGAGGCGCGAAAGCGUGGGGAGCAAACAGGAUUAGAUACCCCGGUAGUCCCUGUCUCUUAUAC